rnacentral:lncRNA from 1 species
CUUAAUAUUAGUGGGUUGAUCCAACAAAAAUGUGUUAGGGUUGAAUUAUUAAUUGAGUCAAAAAUUUUAGUGGGUAUCCUAGUUGGCAAGCCUAGGUGGCGGAUUUAGUGCCAUUUGGCUUGCCACAUCACUUCUGUUAAGUCUUAAGGGUAAUUGUCGUCUCUUAGGAUAACGGUUGGGGCAUUUUUUAUCCUAAAAUGUAAUAGAG